CUCCGUCCUCACCCGGGUCUGGAGCGGCGCCGGCUCCAGAGGCGCAGAGCCGCUGGUUGGGGCACCCUUGACAUGACGCCCCUCGGCCCGCCUGGGCGCUGCCGGUCCCCGGACAGUCUGCGCGGAAACAAGAUGCCAGUUAGAGCAGCUCUCUGUCCCUUCCGCCGCACCAUCCACGCCCCCUCCGUGCGCUCACCGUGAGGCACCUCCUCCAUUCUGCCGACCUGGACCCGUACGUGGUCACCGGAAGCCGCGUUGCGUAUUUCCGUUUCGUGGCUCCCAAUCUCACUCUCCAGCCGCGCGAACGAAGUCUCGGAAAGAGAGGGCUGUGCGCACGCGCGAACGUUGUGUGGGGGCGCUUGCGGCUGUUUUAGUUCUGUUCGCUUUAAAACUGGGCUGCAGGAGUGCAUGAUGCCCGUGGUCCCGUUGUUGGUCGUGUGAAGCUGGCUGACCUGGAAAAGAUGGUGUCUGCCCUCUUUCUCCAGUGAAUGGUACCCUUUUCCAUUUGUAGUUCAUAAAUACUCUCUGGGGCGAUUCAUUGAGAUCAUGUGAAUAUCCUCUUCAUCAACCUUUCACCCAGUGGUUGUAGCAUCAUUCUUGCCUGAAUCCGCUAUAUCGGUGUUUGCAAAAUUGUGCCUUUUUCACAACUCUAUCAUUAUCUAUUAUUUCUGUUUAUUAAUUGGCAGAGAUUGUAAAUAAGAGCUUCCCCCUCCCUCUUUUUGAAAAUAACUAUGGACUCGUGGAUUUUUUUAUUCUAUGUUUUAUAAUACAUUAUCAUUAUUCUUUCUAGUCAAUUUCCCCCCAAAUUUGGCCAUGAAGCCUCUUCAAGCCAACUCCUGUGUUUUGGACACCAGUCCAACUUCUUUGAGCACUUUCUUGCUCUCUGACACCAUAAGAUGUUCCAGGCUCCCCUUCUGCUGCAGCCAUUUCUCCAAGGAGUCCUGGUUGCUUUUCUUGGAGAAUGGUGUUUAGAAACCAAGAUCUGGAUGCUGAGUGUGCUCAUUGCUACUGGAGUAUUGUUGCUUACAGGUUUGGCACAAAUGUUACCGAGGGAACAAUCUUGACCCGGCCUCAGACACUGAGGAUAUAGAAAUUCAUUUAUUACACAGUAAUAUGUGUCCGUUGCCUGUUACUACCACCAGUUAUAGCUAGCAUUUGUCAACUGCUUACUGUUGGCCUGCACUUAUCUAGAGCUUUAUGUGAAUUACCUAAUUGAUGCCCGUCAACAGUCCUUUCCUCUAGGUUCUACUAUCUCCAUUUUUGGGUGAGGAAACGGAUGUUCAAAAUGGUUAAACUACUUGCUGAAGGUCACACAGCUAGUAGCGAGGGAGCCAGACUGAUGAACCCAGGCCGUCUGGCCCCAGAGCCCGCACUCUCAUCCGUGACACGGUGCCAGGCAGCUCUGUGCUAGGUGCCAGUGAUACCAACUGACCUGGUUCGUGUCGUCCUGGAGCCCAGCCUGGUUGGCACAGCAGAUAAUGAAGCAUGUAAGAAGACAGGGUCACGAAGAAUGCCCUCCCCAAGGUCUUAGAGCUGAAGCGCCAGAGCUGGGAUUUCAACAAAGCCUGUAUAGGGCCUGGGCUGUCAACCACUCUGCCGUACGUUGGGAGGCAGGAUGGAAAUUAUUUCCCUUUUACUGAGGAAAGUGAGGUUCGGAGAGAUUAACUGGCUUGCUCACGGUCUCACAGCCAGCAGGCUCCACUGAACUCCUCUGACCGCGGGCUCCUUUUCCCCCAGCCACACUGCAGAGGCCUGAGACCGGCCCACUUCAGGUCUCCCUUACUGAGGUCCCCCAAGACGUUUCCCGCAUGUUCCUCCCAGCAGUUUUCAGUGGCAAUGCCGCUUCAGAUCUCUCUUUCGUCCCACUUAUGCAGGGGCCCUCCCACUCAGCGAGUUCUUACCCAGCGGCAGGGAGGAAAUAUCUACUGGUUUUCAACCUUUUCCUCGCUACUCAUUCUCCCCACAAGGCUAUAAAAAUGAUCAUUUUCCGCACUAAAAAUUAAAAUAAAAUCAAAUAAACCUUCUCUCAA